GUAUUCACAAUCCACUGCCUUAAUCCACUUGGCUACAUCCGCC
rnacentral:tRNA from 1 species